rnacentral:rRNA from 1 species
CUGGCGGUAGCCUACCAUGCAAGUCGAACGGCAGCACAGGAGAGCUUGCUCUCUGGGUGGCGAGUGGCGGACGGGUGAGGAAUACAUCGGAAUCUACUCUGUCGUGGGAGGAUAACGUAGGGAAACUCUACGCUAAUACCGCAUACGACCUACGGGUGAAAGCAGGGGAUCUUCGGACCUUGCGCGAUUGAAUGAGCCGAUGUCGGAUUAGCUAGUUGGCGGGGUAAAGGCCCACCAAGGCGACGAUCCGUAGCUGGUCUGAGAGGAUGAUCAGCCACACUGGAACUGAGACACGGUCCAGACUCCUACGGGAGGCAGCAGUGGGGAAUAUUGGACAAUGGGCGCAAGCCUGAUCCAGCCAUACCGCGUGGGUGAAGAAGGCCUUCGGGUUGUAAAGCCCUUUUGUUGGGAAAGAAAUCCAGCCGGCUAAUACCUGGUUGGGAUGACGGUACCCAAAGAAUAAGCACCGGCUAACUUCGUGCCAGCAGCCGCGGUAAUACGAAGGGUGCAAGCGUUACUCGGAAUUACUGGGCGUAAAGCGUGCGUAGGUGGUUAUUUAAGUCCGUUGUGAAAGCCCUGGGCUCAACCUGGGAACUGCAGUGGAUACUGGAUGACUAGAGUGUGGUAGAGGGUAGCGGAAUUCCUGGUGUANCAGUGAAAUGCGUAGAGAUCAGGAGGAACAUCCAU